CCCAGCACCCGCCUCCGCCGCCGUAUCUUCAUCCCGUACCUCUCGCCCUCGCCCCCUCUCUUCUCCUACGCGAUUUUCUUCGUUCUUUUUCAUAAAUUCGAUCCUGCUUAUUUGCGUUUUCCCCUCUCGAUUCCUGACAAGUUGGCGGCCCCCAUGCCGCCAUCUUCGCGAGGAGGGGAUAGAUCGACGCGUCAAGAAAUCGUUUCAAUUGCCAUGGCUUCCCGUAGGCAAUAUGAUUGUUGCUUGCGUACACUUUUUUCUCUCCCUCCCUUCGUUUUGCUCGUUCUUCUCUUGCCGAUGAGUAAUUUUCUUGUCUUGCACGAUGCUAACCCCGGGCUUGUCGGACGGAUCUCGGUCCGCUGUGAUGAAGGAAAGCCCCAAUGCUGUGCUAGAUCCACACCGCCGUUCAGUGUUGCAGGCCGCGACACUACGCGUGGAUGAGCAGCCUGUGUCAGAGUAAUGGAUACAUUCGCAUCACAUCGUUUUUCCCUCUUUUGUUUCGGAUCUUGGAUUGUGGUUUGGUGGCUGUGAUUAGAAUCUUACCCGCGCUUCUGAUCAACUCGUGAAGUACAAGGGAGAACAUGGUUGAAUUUCUUAAUAUGAGCCACUGCAAAUACCAGAUCCCUUUUUCUUUCUGAUCUCGGUUUAUUUCUGUUAUUAUGUUGUUUGUACAUGGCGGUGAUGAUAAACAUUUGAAGCAAACAUGCCAGUUCUGCUUCUGAAAAUUCAUGAUUGAAAAACCUGUUAUACCGAUCUGAGCCAUGAUCUAUCAUCUACUUUAGUUUCUUACUCUGUUUUAUAACUGGCUUUAGUUUUGAUUGUUGCCGAGUUUAACUAUCCUCUCGCAAGUUUUUCUGAUUUGUGGAAGAGGCUGAAAAUCUCGGGAGAGCGUGUGUUGUCAUCAGCUUCGUCUCUUGUUCCUACGAGAUGGGAGUUAAAUAACGACACGAGAUUUCACAAAUUUCUGCUGCAUCCUCUCAAUAAUAUCUAGUCAAGCUGGAAUGUCCCCCUGCACCCUGGCAAACAGUAUCUAAUCGGGAGAAACAAGGCAUAGUUCUAUUCUUUUUUGAUCUGCCAAUAUUGUGUUUGAAUGUUUCAGUAAUAAGCAAGAAUUUUCCCUUCAGAUGUGCAUUCUGGUAGCAGUGUUCUGCUUGUCUUAGCCCUACAUGAUGAACUAUGUUUUAGCUAUGGAUGUAUGUCCAGGUGGAGCUAUAUUUGUCAUAGUUACUCUGAUAGGGCAAAGACUGUUAAUUUCCUUUCUUAAUCUUAUGUAGCAAACAGCCCCAAUUAAGUGUUUUGGUAUCUGCAACACAUUUGAUAUGUCCAUCUGAUAUUUGUGAAAUAAUAUGGCAACGAAGAUAAAUAUAUGGCUAUGUUCUUAGAACAUUUGUAGUCUGCCAGGCUUAAGAGAAUGCUGCUAAUUCCUUCAUUGGAUGUUUGAGCCUUGUUAAUUACCCCUGAUUAUUUCACUUGUGGAAAACGUAAUUUGUUUGUAACUGUAAUCACCAACUUCUGAUUUUGUUAUGAAAUGAAAGCAAAUUCACUUUUAAGUUAUUGUAAAAAUACUGGUAAUAAUAUCAGGGCUGAAAGACGUAGAAUAUAUUUUGUACUAUUCUACGCAUCCAUCCCUAUAGCCCCUGCAAUAUAAUUCCAAAGAUAUGGCUAGGGUUCCAUGGAUGUAAUGUUUGAACAUUGAACAUUUCGUUUCUGAAAGAUUUCUUCCAUUUAGAAGAAGUCAAUGGUUGCUUGUUUAUUGGAGGGAAAACGGGCGAUAUCCUGGACCGAGUGGAUGACGCCAUUUGAUGACACGCGGAGGGGGAAGACCCCUUGCCUUUUCGCGGCCCAUCCUGGCUUUGCAACAUUUCGAAAUCGGGAAAUUGCGACAGGAGCAGGUGCUACUAGAGAACAAUUAGUAAAUUUGGAUUUGCGAAUUAUUAUAGAGAAUUCUUUGGUCGAAUGGAAGGAAUUAGAAGACGAAGGGGUAUGGUGGAGAGGCUGCCUGUUUCCUUGUAGUUGGAUCUCCCACUUUUUGGAAUGUUCCAAAUUCCACUUGAGCAUCCAAAUCUGGAUCAAUACUAGCAAAACCAUCUUGGAAGAAUGUUCUAGCGUCAUGCCAAAUGUGUCAGAAAAAGAUGAUUUAUUCCUUAUUUAAAAUUUGAAAAUUUGAAAAUUCACUUCUUUAUUUUAUUAAUUUAGGAUCCAGAAGGUAGUUUUUUUUGAUCCAUAUCUUACUUGAUUCAUAUUAUUGUAUAAUCGCCUCGUGUCGAUAGGUCAGUGAGAAAACCCUAUACUCAGAUCGCUCUCUCGCGACCGACAAGUGCCGUCCACCAAGAUCCUCCUCUGCAUCUGAGCUUUUCCGUCGGGAUCACCCUCCGCCUCGAAGCUCCUGACCCAUCUGGCCGCGGCGGCAGCGGCAGACACCUACUUCAACCAAGGCUACCCCCUCCUCAUUCUAGCAUUGUGAUAUGGGGCGUAAUUUAACUUGGACUACAACUGAUUGAUGUAGAUCUGUGCAUUGAAGGGGAUCAGUUUGUAGUAAUGGGUAUCAUCAAUGUUUCCUUGUGCCAAUUGAUUAUGCAAUUCUGUUUGGUGUCGUGAAGGGUUUUUCCCUAAUUACAGUUAGUACAAGGGAACCUUCAUGAUUUAAUCUUUCAAGGCUCGUUUUCUAGCCCAUGUGUUUUUUAAGGCUGUUGUAGCCAAAGUUAUUGCUGCACGUAUUACACAUACCUUUUACUUCUGCAAUGAAGAAAAACUACAUGGGCUAGAAAAACAUUGUAUUAGAUUAAAAUGCAAUUGGUUUAUCCUAUCA